GGUUUCUUGUUGAAAUAGGAGAUUUGACCUGCCCACUGAAUAUUAAUUUGAAGGGCCGCGGUAUCAUGACUGUGCGAAGGUAGCGUAAUCAUUAGUCUUUUAAUUGAAGGCUUGUAUGAAUGGUUGGACGAGGUGAAUACUGUCUUAUUAUAAUUGUAAAGUUGAAGUUGGGAUUUAAGUAAAAAAACUUAAAUAUUGUUAAGGGACGAGAAGACCCUAUAGAGUUUAAUAAAUUUAAGUGGUAGUAAGGUUAUAGUUAAGAUGGUAUUUAUUAUAAUUAAAGUUUAUUUAAUUGGGGCGAUUAGAAGAUAAAUAAAACUCUUCUGUAUUUUAAAUAUGUGUUAGUAAAUGAUUGAUCCAUGUUGAAUGAUUAAAAGAUAAAAUUACCUUAGGGAUAACAGCAUAAUUUUCUUGGAGAGUUCUUAUCAAUAAGAGAGAUUGUGACCUCGAUGUUGGAUUAAGAUGGGAGUUGGGUGUAGGUGUUCAACGAGUUAGGUCUGUUCGACCUUUAAAAUCUUACA
rnacentral:rRNA from 1 species